rnacentral:ncRNA from 1 species
AUAAAUUUUAAUUUAGGUUUAUUAUUUUAUUAUUAAUUAGAUUUACAUGUAAAUUUUAGUGGAAAUUAAUAAAUAUUUAAAAAAUUAUAAUUUAUGCAGUAAUUAAUAUUAUAUUAUUAAAGAAAUUUAGAAAUAGUUAAAUUAAAUAGUAUAAAUUAAAUUUGUGCCAGCAAUUGCGGUUAAACAGAUUAUACAAAUAAAAUUUAUUGGUUAAAAUAAAAUUUUGUUUAUAAUAUAUUUAUUUAUAAAAUUAAUUUAUUAAGUGAAAUUUUAAAUUAAUAUAUUAGUAAAUAUAAAAAAUAAUGAAUAUAUUGAAUUUAUAAAUUUAGAAAUAAACUAGGAUUAGAUACCCUAUUAUUAUAAAUUAAGAUUUAAAAACUAUAGUAGUAUUUGUUAUGUUCUUGAAAUUAAAAAAAUUUGGCGGUAUUUUAGUCUAUUCAGAGGAACCUGUUUCAUAAUCGAUAAUCCACGAUGGACCUUACUUAAUUUUGUUAAGUUUAUAUACCGUCGUUAUAAAUAUUUUAAAAGAAUAAUAAAUUUUUAAAAGUUAUUAUAAUAUAAUAUAUCAGAUCAAGGUUUAGCUGAUAAUUAAGUGAAAAUGGGUUACAAUAAAUUUAUUUAAAUGGAAUAAAUAAUGAAAUAUAUUUAUGAAAUUGGAUUUGAUAGUAAAAUUAUAUAGAUUAAUAAUUUGAUUUUAGCUCUAAAAUAUGUACAUAUCGCCCGUCACUCUUAUUUAUAAAUAAGAUAAGUCGUAACAUAGUAGAUGUACUGGAAAGUGUAUCUAGAAUGCA